AGUGAACGCUAGCGGCAGGCCUAAUACAUGCAAGUCGAACGGAUAUAUGUUUUUCGGAAUAUAUAUUAGUGGCGCACGGGUGAGUAACACGUACAUAACUUGCCCUCAAGCGGGGGAUAGCCUUGGGAAACUGAGAGUAAUACCCCAUAGAAUUAUUGGACGGCAUCGUUUGAUAAUUAAAACUACGGUGCUUGGGGAUAGAUGUGCGUCUGAUUAGCUAGUUGGUGAGGUAACUGCUCACCAAGGCGACGAUCAGUAGGGGGCGUGAGAGCGUGGCCCCCCACACGGGUACUGAGACACGGACCCGACUCCUACGGGAGACAGCAGUAAGGAAUAUUGGUCAAUGGACGAAAGUCUGAACCAGCCAUGCCGCGUGGAGGAUGAAGGUCCUCUGGAUUGUAAACUUCUUUUAUAUGGGACGAAAAAAGGGUUUUCUAACUCGUCUGACGGUACCAUAUGAAUAAGCACCGGCUAACUCCGUG
rnacentral:rRNA from 1 species